AUUGAACGCUGGCGGCAGGCUUAACACAUGCAAGUCGAACGAGUGGCGGACGGGUGAGUACUGCUUGGGAAUCUAGCUUAUGGAGGGGGAUAACUACGGGAAACUGUAGCUAAUACCGCUUACCAUAGGAUGAGCCCAAGUGGGAUUAGGUAGUUGGUGAGGUAAAGGCUCACCAAGGCGACGAUCUCUAGCUGGUAUGAGAGGAUGACCGGCCACACUGGGACUGAGACACGGCCCAGACUCCUACGGGAGGCAGCAGUGGGGAAGAUUGGGCAAUGGGGGCAACCCUGACGCAGCCAUGCCGCGUGUAUGAAGAAGGCCUUAGGGUUGUAAAGUACUUUCAGCGGGGAGGCGUUACCCGCAGAAGAAGCACCGGCUAACUCCGUGCCAGCAGCCGCGGUAAUAC
rnacentral:rRNA from 1 species